AUGCCACUGCGGGAGGGUGCAGAGGAUUUCCAGGCUUGGCACUUUGAUACAAAAGGGGAGUUCUCUGUUAAACAAGCAUACAAACUUCACCGGGCGCUAAUGGAAAAUGAAGGGGGGGAUGGUCCGGCCUAUGCUCCUGGGGGUGAUAGUCUGAAUGUUGAAGGGGAUGGUAGAUGGAAGAGGAUUUGGCGCAUGCCGUGCCCGGGGUCAGUAAAGCACUUCAUGUGGAGAUGUGCUCAUAACACUCUUGCCACCAGAGAUAUUCUGCAAAGAAGGGGAGUAAAGAUUGAAGAUCAUCGAUGCCUUGUCUGCAAUUCUGGGCCAGAAUUGGGGAAGCAUUUAUUUGUCCAGUGUAGAGAAGUUAAAAAGGUUUGGCAGGAACUGGGGGCGGAGCACAUACGGAUGAGGCUUGCAGCCUGUGAUAGCAUAUAUGAAACUCUGGAUGAACUGUGGAAACUCCCAGAAGAACAAAGGAUGCAAGUUAUCAUCAUGUGGUGGUUAUGGUGGACCCAAAGAAACAAAAUCAGAGAAGGAGAGAAGCCUUUGGAGAACCGCGAUUUUCCGUAUAGAGCUGCAUGUACUGCGAAAGAAUAUCAGGGUUGCUUUGGUAAAACGCACGGUGCAAAAACCAGGGUGCGUUGGGCGCCACCACGAGCUGAUACUUUAAAGUUUAAUGUGGAUGCGGCUUUUAUACCGGACCAGGAUACGGCAGCAUGGGGAGUAAUUGCACAUGACGAACAUGGUGAUGUUGUGGCGGCUAGAGCAGGACGAAUCCCUCGAGUAUUUGAUUCCUUUGGCGCGGAAUUGCGAGUUGUCGAGAUGGCGAUGGCAGUAGCUGCCGAAUUGGGUGUGGUAAGGCUGCACAUCGAGACGGAUGCCUUGCUGGUAGCGCAGGCGGUGAACCGGAGAAAGACGGAUUUUUCCAAGGAGGCGCAGUUGAUUGAGUACAUCAAGGUCCAGAGGAAUCCAUACACUGUCCACGUGAGGUUAAUCAUGCGGCUCACUGCUUAG
rnacentral:rRNA from 1 species